CCCAAUAUUAGCUGUGCUGCUUC
rnacentral:miRNA from 1 species